GAUUAACGCUGGCGGCAUGCCUAAUGCAUGCAAGUAGAACGGGUUUAGCCGCAAGGCUAAACUAGUUGCGAACGGGUGAGUAAUGCUUAGGAAUCUGCCUAUUAGUGGGGGACAACAUCUCGAAAGGGAUGCUAAUACCGCAUACGUCCUACGGGAGAAAGCAGGGGAUCUUCGGACCUUGCGCUAAUAGAUGAGCCUAAGUCAGAUUAGCUAGUUGGUGGGGUAAAGGCCUACCAAGGCGACGAUCUGUAGCGGGUCUGAGAGGAUGAUCCGCCACACUGGGACUGAGACACGGCCCAGACUCCUACGGGAGGCAGCAGUGGGGAUUAUUGGACAAUGGGGGGAACCCUGAUCCAGCCAUGCCGCGUGUGUGAAGAAGGCCUUAUGGUUGUAAAGCACUUUAAGCGAGGAGGAGGCUACUUUAGUUAAUACCUAGAGAUAGUGGACGUUACUCGCAGAAUAAGCACCGGCUAACUCUGUGCCAGCCGCCGCCGUAA
rnacentral:rRNA from 1 species